AUUGAACGCUGGCGGCAUGCCUUACACAUGCAAGUCGAACGGCAGCACGGGAGCUUGCUCCUGGUGGCGAGUGGCGAACGGGUGAGUAAAGCAUCGGAACGUGCCCUGAAGUGGGGGAUAACGUAGCGAAAGUUACGCUAAUACCGCAUAUUCUGUGAGCAGGAAAGCAGGGGACCGCAAGGCCUUGUGCUUUAGGAGCGGCCGAUGUCGGAUUAGCUAGUUGGUGAGGUAAAGGCUCACCAAGGCGACGAUCCGUAGCGGGUCUGAGAGGAUGAUCCGCCACACUGGGACUGAGACACGGCCCAGACUCCUACGGGAGGCAGCAGUGGGGAAUUUUGGACAAUGGGCGCAAGCCUGAUCCAGCCAUGCCGCGUGAGUGAAGAAGGCCUCGGUUGUAA
rnacentral:rRNA from 1 species